rnacentral:sRNA from 1 species
UAAUAAUUUUAUAGGUUGGAAAAAUAAACCUUACUAGAUUUUAACCCGCGAUACACCGCGGAGACAAUUCAUUUUUAAAAAUUAAUAUAUAUAAAAUUUGUAAAUUAUUUUAUAGUUUACCAUUGUUACUAAGUAACGUCCUGCCAAAUCCGUCCUACCAAACAUGUCCUGCCAAACCCGUCCAAAAAAAAAACUAUUUAUUUUAUUAAUGUUGAUCUUAUUUAUAAUAUGUUUAUGAAUCAUUGUCAAAAUAUUUUAGUCGUUGCGUGACAUUGAACCCACACAUUUUUCGCCAAUUGGUUAAUAUAUGUUCAUUCUUAAAAUUUCGAAUCACAAAAUAUGACGAAUUUUUUUUUGAGAUUUUUUAAAACUCUAUAUAUUAUAUAAUGAUGUUAAUUUUUUUGAUAAAU